rnacentral:tRNA from 1 species
GCAAAUAUAGUUUAACAAAAACAUUAGAUUGUGAAUCUAAAUAUAGGAGUUCAAACCCCCUUAUGUGCC